AUGAUUUAUGACUUUUUAAAAUCUUGUGUAAAAAUCUUUUCAAUUGUAACACAUUAUUUGAAAAUUAUUAUUUUAAGAUUCUUCUUGAAGGUGAAAGAUACGACUUGUUUUUUGUCUAGAUCAAAGACGCUUUAUUUCUGUUGCACCAAAACAAUCAUUAUUAAUGUGUGCAAAAACACCCUCAGGAGGGAGUCUUUCACCAACCUGUCUUCAUAAAGCAGACAUUAAAGCACAAAGCGGAAUGUUAAAUGCUCAGCCACACUUCGUGAUGCAUCUGGACCAAUAAUGAUUAGUUCACUACAUAUUCCUCAGAUCCUUUUGUUUUUGCUUAGCCCUGUUUCAAGCAAACUGAGCCUACCACAUUUCUUAGAGAAGAAAAUUUGACCUAGGCAUGUGAUACCCCUAACCCUGAACCCACUGAAAUGCUAAAAAGUAGUACAAUCAAGACAGCACAGACAUAGUGUGAUGCCCUGCACCACCCAUGCUGUUGCACACCCCACAUAAUCGCUCGCCACACCCACUUCACUCGACACACCUGUGCACACCCUAAUCUCUCCACUCUAAAGCCCUAGUGCACUCCACAGUGGGUGUCUGAGCUUCUCAGCAAAAGUCCAGUUGAGAGGCUGAAAGUCACGGGAUUUUUUUGUUUUGUUUUGUUUUGUGUAAAUGAACUAACUGUUUUGUUGCACCAGGGUUCCUUCGCUCCUUCCCCACGGCAUCACACAGAGUGAUAACCUGAUUUGUAGGGCAAAAUGAUCCAUUUACAUUUACAAGACACCCUUAUCCAGAGCGACUUGCAAUCAUUAGUUACAGGGACAGUCCCCCUGGAGCAUCUUAGGGUUAAGUGUCUUGCUCAGGGACACAAUGGUAGAAACAUGGAAGUCACAUUGGGCACUAUUUUCUAAUUGAUAGUGGCCUACUGGGUAAGACACUCUGCUAUGAAGCACAGUCACAGGUUUAAAACCCACUUACUACCAUUGUGUAAACAUAAGCUUUAAUGAUACUUGCACGUGUGAUUUAUUAAUGGCCAUGGGUUUAUAUGAUCCAGAAUGAUGACCCCAGCCAAUUAAUAAGCAAUUCUUUUUCAUCUAUUUAUGUAAAUCCCAAGAAUGCCUAACCUUACAUUAGCAAACAAGCCCGGUUUGCCCAUUAUGGUUUUCUUCAGCACAUU
rnacentral:lncRNA from 1 species